UACGGAGGAUGCAAGCGUUAUCCGGAAUGAUUGGGCGUAAAGCGUCCGCAGGUGGCUAUGUAAGUCUGCUGUUAAAGAGUGAGGCUCAACCUCAUAAGAGCAGUGGAAACUACAUGGCUAGAGUGCGUUCGGGGCAGAGGGAAUUCCUGGUGUAGCGGUGAAAUGCGUAGAGAUCAGGAAGAACACCGGUGGCGAAAGCGCUCUGCUGGACCGUAACUGACACUGAGGGACGAAAGCUAGGGGAGCGAAUGGG
rnacentral:rRNA from 1 species